rfam:Zootermopsis nevadensis contig18298, whole genome shotgun sequence.
GCCACGGUGGUCUAGCGGUCAGAACACUAGCCUUGUAAGCCUGGGGUCCCGGGUUCAAUUCCCGGUGGUGCCC